rnacentral:lncRNA from 10 species
AGACACGCCUUAGCGCCAGCAGUGAGUCGGAGCUCUAUGGAGGUGGCAGCGGGUACCGAGUGGCGGCUGCAGCAGCGACUCCUCUGAGCUGAGUUUGAGGCCGUCCCCGACUCCUUCCUCCCCCUUCCCUCCCCCUUUUUUUUGUUUUCCGUUCCCCUUUCCCCUCCCUUCCCUAUCCCCGACGACCGGAUCCUGAGGAGGCAGCUGCGGUGGCAGCUGCUGAGUUCUCGGUGAAGAAGGAAAACGUCAGUGUUGGCCAGGCCGCCGUGCGGUCAUGGCCGGAUGGCCGACGCCUGCAGGGACGAGGCCGUGGCGGACCGAGGCACGGCUGUGCUCGGACGGCGAGGGAGCGUGGCUCGGACCGCUAGCGCCGUGGCGGGAGGCACGCGGGCCGGCAGGGAAGGCCAGGCCGUUGGCGCGGGACCAGGGAACCGCAGGCGUCCCGGAGCCUGGCCUCCCGGCGGGGAGGUAUUUCAUUUCUCCUGUCCCCUCCCCUCCCCACCCCAUCUAUUAAUAUUAUUCUUUUGAAGAUUCUUCGUUGUCAAGCCGCCAAAGUGGAGAGUGCGAUUGCAGAAGGGGGUGCUUCUCGUUUCAGUGCUUCUUCGGGCGGAGGAGGAAGUAGGGGUGCACCUCAGCACUAUCCCAAGACUGCUGGCAACAGCGAGUUCCUGGGGAAAACCCCAGGGCAAAACGCUCAGAAAUGGAUUCCUGCACGAAGCACUAGACGAGAUGACAACUCCGCAGCAAACAACUCCGCAAACGAAAAAGAACGACAUGAUGCAAUCUUCAGGAAAGUAAGAGGCAUACUAAAUAAGCUUACUCCUGAAAAGUUUGACAAGCUAUGCCUUGAGCUCCUCAAUGUGGGUGUAGAGUCUAAACUCAUCCUUAAAGGGGUCAUACUGCUGAUUGUGGACAAAGCCCUAGAAGAGCCAAAGUAUAGCUCACUGUAUGCUCAGCUAUGUCUGCGAUUGGCAGAAGAUGCACCAAACUUUGAUGGCCCAGCAGCAGAGGGUCAACCAGGACAGAAGCAAAGCACCACAUUCAGACGCCUCCUAAUUUCCAAAUUACAAGAUGAAUUUGAAAACCGAACUAGAAAUGUUGAUGUCUAUGAUAAGCGUGAAAAUCCCCUCCUCCCCGAGGAGGAGGAACAGAGAGCCAUUGCUAAGAUCAAGAUGUUGGGAAACAUCAAAUUCAUUGGAGAGCUUGGCAAGCUUGAUCUUAUUCACGAAUCUAUCCUUCAUAAGUGCAUCAAAACACUUUUGGAAAAGAAGAAGAGAGUCCAACUC